rnacentral:rRNA from 1 species
GGACCGACGGGAGCUUGCUCCCUUAGGUCAGCGGCGGACGGGUGAGUAACACGUGGGUAACCUGCCUGUAAGACUGGGAUAACUCCGGGAAACCGGGGCUAAUACCGGAUGCUUGAUUGAACCGCAUGGUUCAAUCAUAAAAGGUGGCUUUUAGCUACCACUUGCAGAUGGACCCGCGGCGCAUGAGCUAGUUGGUGAGGUAACGGCUCACCAAGGCGACGAUGCGUAGCCGACCUGAGAGGGUGAUCGGCCACACUGGGACUGAGACACGGCCCAGACUCCUACGGGAGGCAGCAGUAGGGAAUCUUCCGCAAUGGACGAAAGUCUGACGGAGCAACGCCGCGUGAGUGAUGAAGGUUUUCGGAUCGUAAAACUCUGUUGUUAGGGAAGAACAAGUACCGUUCGAAUAGGGCGGUACCUUGACGGUACCUAACCAGAAAGCCACGGCUAACUACGUGCCAGCAGCCGCGGUAAUACGUAGGUGGCAAGCGUUGUCCGGAAUUAUUGGGCGUAAAGCGCGCGCAGGCGGUUUCUUAAGUCUGAUGUGAAAGCCCCCGGCUCAACCGGGGAGGGUCAUUGGAAACUGGGGAACUUGAGUGCAGAAGAGGAGAGUGGAAUUCCACGUGUAGCGGUGAAAUGCGUAGAGAUGUGGAGGAACACCAGUGGCGAAGGCGACUCUCUGGUCUGUAACUGACGCUGAGGCGCGAA